GAGCCCAUGAGCUCUUCUGCCCUCCGAAGGCAGGGGUCGUGGGUUCGAAUCCCACCGAGUGCGCCA
rnacentral:tRNA from 1 species